CAAACCAGAAAUUGGAUAAUUGGAUACGAACUGAAGGCAAGUUCAGGACAGUUUCUUCACUGUGAGGGAGUCAGAAGAACAGUGCAGUAAAUAUGUGCAGGAUUUUAUUACCCAUUUAUUUUCAGUAUUGCUCCUUGGUUAUAAGGUGCCUUUAGGAAUGCGCAAGAUGACUAAGGGCCUGGAAAUUUAAUGCAAAGUGGACUUAGUUUGUGAAAAAAUACCCCCCAAAGGUAUUGUUCUUUAGCAGGCAUUGAAGGAUUCAAGGGGUGACGGCUAAUUUCAUCAAAACAUUUCCAUGGAUGGCAGAUUCGAAGAAGAGCAACAAGAUAGAAGAAAUUAAAUCCAAUUGUUCAUUUCAAACAAUUUUCAAAGCCUGACUAAAGAGAGCUGGAGUCUAUUCCAGUGGCAUUCAUUAUAAGGCAGAAACCAAGUUCAAAUGGGAUGCAAAUGCAGCUUCAUAUUCUCACUCCACACUAAAUGCAGGUUAGCAAAAUUGAACCUUUGUGAAAAGGUGUAUGCAUCACUGUGCUCUUCUCUGCAAUGGACUGAUGUUCCUGCCCUACAUUCAAUGUUACUAGGAUGCGCUCUGCAUUUUAAUAAGCACAAAAUGGACAAGUAAGAGGAUGAGCAAUUAUAAGGUUACAUGACAGUGCUCUAGGAUUGACCAGCACCCUUUCUUGCACCUGCUGCCGACCAGAUGUUUGUUUACUACGUCUUUCUAUACUAUGACACUAUGGAUUGCUCUCUGCAGAUUUAUUCAGUUUUUCUUCUGUUAUUUUUGUAUGUGUGUGACUGGUGGAUGACGUCACUGGGUAUAUAUUUGAAAAUAUGUAUCAUGUGUCAUUGAGCAAGGCAAACUUUUUUUUAAAUAAAUACAUGAACAGAA